GGCUCCAUAGUGUAGUGGUUAGCACAUCUGCUUUACACACAGAAGGUCCUGGGUUCGCACCCCAGGUGGAGCCA
rfam:Pteropus alecto contig3425, whole genome shotgun sequence.